AUUGAACGCUGGCGGUAUGCUUAACACAUGCAAGUCGAACGGUAACAUGAGGAGCUUGCUCCUUGAUGACGAGUGGCGGACGGGUGAGUAACGCGUAGGAAUUUACCUUUCGGCGGGGGAUAGCCCGGAGAAAUCCGGAUUAAUACCGCAUACGCCCUACGGGGGAAACGAGGCCACUUCUUGAAAGCUUCGACCGAAAGAUGAGCCUGCGUUAGAUUAGCUAGUUGGUAGGGUAAUGGCCUACCAAGGCGACGAUCUAUAGCUGGUCUGAGAGGAUGAUCAGCCACACUGGAACUGAGACACGGUCCAG
rnacentral:rRNA from 1 species